AUCCAUCAGCCGGUUAUCGAACCUGGGGCGCCCGCGUGGCAGGCGAGCAUUCUAUCACUGAACCAAAAGCAAAGGGUGACAGA
rnacentral:tRNA from 1 species